rnacentral:rRNA from 1 species
GACGAACGCUGGCGGCGUGCUUAACACAUGCAAGUCGAACGGAAAGGCCCUGCUUUUGUGGGGUGCUCGAGCGGCGAACGGGUGAGUAACACGUGAGUAACCUGCCCUUGACUUUGGGAUAACUUCAGGAAACUGGGGCUAAUACCGGAUAGGAGCUCCUGCUGCAUGGUGGGGGUUGGAAAGUUUCGGCCGUUGGGGAUGGACUCGCGGCUUAUCAGCUUGUUGGUGGGGUAGUGGCUUACCAAGGCUUUGACGGGUAGCCGGCCUGAGAGGGUGACCGGCCACAUUGGGACUGAGAUACGGCCCAGACUCCUACGGGAGGCAGCAGUGGGGAAUAUUGCACAAUGGGCGGAAGCCUGAUGCAGCAACGCCGCGUGCGGGAUGACGGCCUUCGGGUUGUAAACCGCUUUCGCCUGUGACGAAGCGUGAGUGACGGUAAUGGGUAAAGAAGCACCGGCUAACUACGUG